AGCAGGAGCGUCUGUUGGUUUCUGCUUUGUUGAUCUCCGAAAUCACUUUGCUCGUACUGGUAUUUGGUAUAUAAUUCUGGAAAUCAAGAACCUAUUUGCAGAGGGAGGCAUUGACUCCAAGGUCCAGAGUUUGAUGAGUUUGCUUGGAAUUAUAGUAUUGAAGGCAGAACUGUAGUCAAUAAACAACAACAUUUUCCUGCAUUUCCAUGUCUAUAAACUGAAAAUGGUAUCCAUUAAAAGAAACCUCCAAACUAUCAUGGACUGAUGGAAGAAUUCAUACCGCUUGGUGUAGCUUUGUAUCAAGUAAAACCAGGAUCCAACAAGUUUGAAUCAAUGUUCUUCCCUGAACAUUUAAUAAACUUGCAGGAGUUCUAAAAUAUUUUAAGCUUAAUUCUUUAGAUGCACUCAAAAUAAGGCCAGCCUUUGUCCUUUGAAUACCUCAAGCAACAUAAUCAAUAACGUUUAUAUUUUUCCUGUUUUUAAGUACUUGUGCGAUGACACGUAAUACAGUUAAUGUUCAGAAUUAUUGCAGAGUUUAUGUGUAAGAGAAAAUGCUCUAAAUAUCAGAACUGUCAUAAAAAUCCAUCUGGUUCAAUGCUUCCUUCAGGAGAGGAAAUCUGUUAAGUUUAUUCAGACCUUCAUGUGACUCCCAACGUACAUGUGCUUAACUCUUAAAUGCACUCUGUAGUGGCCAACAAACCACUCAAUUGGUUUAAACAGAGAAAUAAAGUACCAGAUGAAGCACCUGGUAUUGACCCAGAAACUGAAUUUGAACAAGCUAAUGCCACUCCAAGUUCAGUCCACCUUACAAAGUACUCGCAAGCAUCUGGGGGCUGAUGUCUAAGUUGUAAGAGUUAUUCCACAGACUAGUGCAGCAACAGGCUGAUUUGCUCAUAUUCAUAGAAUCACGUCACUCUCAGUACAUACCCAUAAUAGAAGGCAGCUCAAAGGAAGAGGCACCAUUGAUUCCUGAAUCCAUGAAGUCUCAUGGCAUCGGAUUAAACAUGGACAAGAAUACCUCCACCUGAUUACCAUCUCUUGCAGCUGAUGAAUCACUGAACAAUGAAGGUAACAAGAAUACUGAAAGAGAGAUUUCAAUGCCCACCACUGACAAUUAGCCAAGUUCUAUAGGACACAACUGUCACUAGUAAUAUCCCUCAAUAUCAAAGUACAAAGUAAAUUUAUUAUCAAAGUACACAUGCAUCACCAUAUAUAACCCUGAUUGUCUCAAUUGUCCCAACUUUAUUCGUUCUUCCUACACC